GGGUAUCUGUGCGUAAUUAAACUUUUAAUUAUAGGAAGAUGCAACUAUGCAAUCCUUGUCACCCAAACCCUGCCAAAAAGAUAGAAAACAAGCUUCAAAAACUUAACUCCUUUAUCAACAUCUUUAAGACCAAAAUUCAAGAUAAAAAUAAUCAUAAAACAACUAUGACCACUUUUCAUAGCCCAAAAGCCGAGAAGAAAUGAACAUCAUCACUUUUACCUUAUUACUACAACAAGAAUCGGAUAUUAAUCAUACAAACAAACACAGAGAUAGUCUAAAGGUGUGCUGCUUGGUCAAUGAAGUGGGUGAAAACUAUGAGAAACCAAGGUUCAAAUCCAUGUUGGACAAAAGACACUAAGUGAAUUCUUCCAAUAGGCAUAAGCCAUAGCGGGCAGAAUUACUUGAUGACUCAAUAACUUUGCUAGUGGGAGGUGGCAAGUACCCGGUGGAUUAAUCGAGUAGCGGAAAAGCUGGAUCGGACUCCACCAUUGUAUAAACAAGGGAAAACAAAAAGGAACAAACACAAGUAUGAACAAAUAGCUUUAGGUGGUCGUGUAUAUGUUCAUCUCAAUUUCGAGUUCAUUAUAUAUUGAGUUACUUCAAUCAGAAAACACAUCAUCCACCAAGUCUUGCAUUAUGAUCACAUUAGACAUGAAUAACAUCUACAAUCAAUAAACUGUGCAGUGCACUUUAAUCGUCAGGUCGGCUCUGUGAAUCCCUGUGUCCAACCCAAUCAAUUUCAUAUCAUAUCAUUCCAAUACUAAAUAGUUUCGCUAAUAAUAUCUACCGCAGUGCACUUUAAUCGUCAGGUCGGCUCUGUGAAUUCCUGUAUCCAACCCAAUCAAUUUCAUAUCAUAUCAUUCCAAUACUAAAUAGUUUCGCUAAUAAUAUCUACAACCACGAGCAUAAAAGUGCAAAUUCGUUCAAUAAACCACAAUUGGCAAAGCUUGACGUCAAUUGUACUAAUUACUUCUCCAUAUUAAAACAUAAUAACAUUAAAUCCUAAUAAUACAAGCAAAUAAUUCAAUAAACCUUAUCUUUUUACCAAAAUAUUUCAACAAACUAGUGAUACUUUAGUGUGAUAAAUU
rnacentral:lncRNA from 1 species